rnacentral:rRNA from 1 species
ACGGAAGGCAGCAGUGGGGAAUAUUGCACAAUGGGGGAAACCCUGAUGCAGCAACGCCGCGUGAGUGAUGACGGUCUUCGGAUUGUAAAGCUCUGUCUUCAGGGACGAUAAUGACGGUACCUGAGGAGGAAGCCACGGCUAACUACGUGCCAGCAGCCGCGGUAAUACGUAGGUGGCAAGCGUUGUCCGGAUUUACUGGGCGUAAAGGGAGCGUAGGUGGAUAUUUAAGUGGGAUGUGAAAUACUCGGGCUUAACCUGGGUGCUGCAUUCCAAACUGGAUAUCUAGAGUGCAGGAGAGGAAAGUAGAAUUCCUAGUGUAGCGGUGAAAUGCGUAGAGAUUAGGAAGAAUACCAGUGGCGAAGGCGACUUUCUGGACUGUAACUGACACUGAGGCUCGAAAGCGUGGGGAGCAAACAGGAUUAGAUACCCUGGUA